rnacentral:rRNA from 1 species
GAUGAACGCUGGCGGCGUGCCUAAUACAUGCAAGUCGAGCGAACAGAUAAGGAGCUUGCUCCUUUGACGUUAGCGGCGGACGGGUGAGUAACACGUGGGUAACCUACCUAUAAGACUGGGAUAACUUCGGGAAACCGGAGCUAAUACCGGAUAAUAUUUCGAAUCGCAUGGUUCGAUAGUGAAAGAUGGUUUUGCUAUCACUUAUAGAUGGACCCGCGCCGUAUUAGCUAGUUGGUAAGGUAACGGCUUACCAAGGCGACGAUACGUAGCCGACCUGAGAGGGUGAUCGGCCACACUGGAACUGAGACACGGUCCAGACUCCUACGGGAGGCAGCAGUAGGGAAUCUUCCGCAAUGGGCGAAAGCCUGACGGAGCAACGCCGCGUGAGUGAUGAAGGUCUUCGGAUCGUAAAACUCUGUUAUUAGGGAAGAACAUACGUGUAAGUAACUGUGCACGUCUUGACGGUACCUAAUCAGAAAGCCACGGCUAACUACGUG